rnacentral:lncRNA from 1 species
UUCGUUAUUUUCUUGGCACAUACCCUCCAAGUUAGAGAAAUUGGGUUAUAAUCCUUUCUUUUCCAUUUAGAAGCCAACUUGGAGAAAUUAGGGUUCUUCUCCAAAUUGGAGAAGUUAAGUUGCUGCGAAUAUUUAGUGAGAGCUUCCAGGUAUGAUAUCUUCUGUUAUUUUCAUAAUUCUUUCUUAUAGUUUCCUUUCUAUGUGCCUUUUCUUCUCUAAUUUCAUCAAAGGUAGUGUUUGAUAUGGUUGGAGAAGUUGAUGCACGAUCUAAGUUCAUUCUUCCAAGAUUGGUUGAAAAAUUGAAGGAGUUGGAAGAAGGAUUAGCAUUUUAUGAAAAUAACCACAACAACUUGAUGGAGAUUGAAGAGA